rnacentral:rRNA from 1 species
GAUGAACGCUAGCGGGAGGCCUAACACAUGCAAGCCGAGCGGUAUUGUUUCUUCGGAAAUGAGAGAGCGGCGUACGGGUGCGGAACACGUGUGCAACCUGCCUUUAUCUGGGGGAUAGCCUUUCGAAAGGAAGAUUAAUACUCCAUAAUAUAUUGAACGGCAUCGUUUAAUAUUGAAAGCUCCGGUGGAUAGAGAUGGGCACGCGCAAGAUUAGCUAGUUGGUGAGGUAACGGCUCACCAAGGCAAUGAUCUUUAGGGGGCCUGAGAGGGUGAGCCCCCACACUGGUACUGAGACACGGACCAGACUCCUACGGGAGGCAGCAGUGAGGAAUAUUGGUCAAUGGGUGCAAGCCUGAACCAGCCAUCCCGCGUGAAGGACGACUGCCCUAUGGGUUGUAAACUUCUUUUGUAUAGGGAUAAACCUUUCCACGUGUGGAAAGCUGAAGGUACUAUACGAAUAAGCACCGGCUAACUCCGUGCCAGCCGCCGCGGUAAUAC